rnacentral:rRNA from 1 species
GAUUAACGCUGGCGGCAUGCCUAAUACAUGCAAGUCGAACGGAAAAUAUAUAGAUGCUUGCAUUUAGAUAUUUUUAGUGGCGAACGGGUGAGUAAUAUAUAGAUAACCUACCUUUAAGUUGGGGAUAACAGAGGGAAACUUUUGCUAAUACCGAAUAAAAUAAUUAGACGCAUGUUUAAUUAUUAAAAGGGGCUCCAAAGCCCCGCUCGAAGAGGGGUCUAUAUCGCAUUAGCUAGUUGGUAAGAUAACAGCCUACCAAGGCGAUGAUGCGUAGCUGUACUGAGAGGUAGAACAGCCACAUUGGGACUGAGAUACGGCCCAAACUCCUACGGGAGGCAGCAGUAGGGAAUUUUCGGCAAUGGGGGGAACCCUGACCGAGCAAUGCCGCGUGAUUGAAGAAGAUCUUCGGAUCGUAAAGAUCUGUUAUUAGGGAAGAAUGGAAUUGAUAGGAAAUGAUCAAUUUAUGACGGUGCCUAAUGAGGAAGCCCCGGCUAACUAUGUGCC